rnacentral:rRNA from 1 species
UUAAUUUGAGAGUUUGAUCCUGGCUCAGGACGAACGCUGGCGGCGUGCCUAAUACAUGCAAGUCGAACGAACUCUGGUAUUGAUUGGUGCUUGCAUCAUGAUUUACAUUUGAGUGAGUGGCGAACUGGUGAGUAACACGUGGGAAACCUGCCCAGAAGCGGGGGAUAACACCUGGAAACAGAUGCUAAUACCGCAUAACAACUUGGACCGCAUGGUCCGAGCUUGAAAGAUGGCUUCGGCUAUCACUUUUGGAUGGUCCCGCGGCGUAUUAGCUAGAUGGUGGGGUAACGGCUCACCAUGGCAAUGAUACGUAGCCGACCUGAGAGGGUAAUCGGCCACAUUGGGACUGAGACACGGCCCAAACUCCUACGGGAGGCAGCAGUAGGGAAUCUUCCACAAUGGACGAAAGUCUGAUGGAGCAACGCCGCGUGAGUGAAGAAGGGUUUCGGCUCGUAAAACUCUGUUGUUAAAGAAGAACAUAUCUGAGAGUAACUGUUCAGGUAUUGACGGUAUUUAACCAGAAAGCCACGGCUAACUACGUGCCAGCAGCCGCGGUAAUACGUAGGUGGCAAGCGUUGUCCGGAUUUAUUGGGCGUAAAGCGAGCGCAGGCGGUUUUUUAAGUCUGAUGUGAAAGCCUUCGGCUCAACCGAAGAAGUGCAUCGGAAACUGGGAAACUUGAGUGCAGAAGAGGACAGUGGAACUCCAUGUGUAGCGGUGAAAUGCGUAGAUAUAUGGAAGAACACCAGUGGCGAAGGCGGCUGUCUGGUCUGUAACUGACGCUGAGGCUCGAAAGUAUGGGUAGCAAACAGGAUUAGAUACCCUGGUAGUCCAUACCGUAAACGAUGAAUGCUAAGUGUUGGAGGGUUUCCGCCCUUCAGUGCUGCAGCUAACGCAUUAAGCAUUCCGCCUGGGGAGUACGGCCGCAAGGCUGAAACUCAAAGGAAUUGACGGGGGCCCGCACAAGCGGUGGAGCAUGUGGUUUAAUUCGAAGCUACGCGAAGAACCUUACCAGGUCUUGACAUACUAUGCAAAUCUAAGAGAUUAGACGUUCCCUUCGGGGACAUGGAUACAGGUGGUGCAUGGUUGUCGUCAGCUCGUGUCGUGAGAUGUUGGGUUAAGUCCCGCAACGAGCGCAACCCUUAUUAUCAGUUGCCAGCAUUAAGUUGGGCACUCUGGUGAGACUGCCGGUGACAAACCGGAGGAAGGCGGGGAUGACGUCAAAUCAUCAUGCCCCUUAUGACCUGGGCUACACACGUGCUACAAUGGAUGGUACAACGAGUUGCGAACUCGCGAGAGUAAGCUAAUCUCUUAAAGCCAUUCUCAGUUCGGAUUGUAGGCUGCAACUCGCCUACAUGAAGUCGGAAUCGCUAGUAAUCGCGGAUCAGCAUGCCGCGGUGAAUACGUUCCCGGGCCUUGUACACACCGCCCGUCACACCAUGAGAGUUUGUAACACCCAAAGUCGGUGGGGUAACCUUUUAGGAACCAGCCGCCUAAGGUGGGACAGAUGAUUAGGGUGAAGUCGUAACAAGGUAGCCGUAGGAGAACCUGCGGCUGGAUCACCUCCUUUCUAAGGAA